rnacentral:snRNA from 1 species
CAUACACAUGACAUCAAGU